rnacentral:rRNA from 1 species
UACGAGGGGGGCAAGCGUUGUUCGGAAUUAUUGGGCGUAAAGGGUGCGUAGGCGGUCUGACAAGUCUGAUGUGAAACUCUAUGGGCUCAACCCAUACGUCGUGACACUCGGGAAACUGUCGGGCUUUGAGGUGAAUGGGGAGAGGUGCGGUAGGUCGAAUUCCCGGGUGUAGGUGGUAGAAAUGCGUAGAUAGUCGGGAGGAACACCUGUGGCGAAAGCGGCGCACUGGACCACACUGACGCUGAGGCGCGAAAGCUAGGGGGAGCAAACAGGAUUAGAACUACCUUCGUA